rnacentral:rRNA from 1 species
GAUGAACGCUGGCGGCGUGCCUAAUACAUGCAAGUCGAGCGAACAGACGAGGAGCUUGCUCCUCUGACGUUAGCGGCGGACGGGUGAGUAACACGUGGAUAACCUACCUAUAAGACUGGGAUAACUUCGGGAAACCGGAGCUAAUACUGGAUAAUAUAUUGAACCGCAUGGUUCAAUAGUGAAAGACGGUUUUGCUGUCACUUAUAGAUGGUUCCGCGCCGCAUUAGCUAGUUGGUAAGGUAACGGCUUACCAAGGCAACGAUGCGUAGCCGACCUGAGAGGGUGAUCGGCCACACUGGAACUGAGACACGGUCCAGACUCCUACGGGAGGCAGCAGUAGGGAAUCUUCCGCAAUGGGCGAAAGCCUGACGGAGCAACGCCGCGUGAGUGAUGAAGGUCUUCGGAUCGUAAAACUCUGUUAUUAGGGAAGAACAAAUGUGUAAGUAACUAUGCACGUCUUGACGGUACCUAAUCAGAAAGCCACGGCUAACUACGUG